rnacentral:rRNA from 1 species
GGACCCGCACAAGCGGUGGAGUAUGUGGCUUAAUUCGAUGCAACGCGAAGAACCUUACCUAGGCUUGACAUGUAUUGCUAAUCUGCUGAAAGGCAGUGACCCUUCGGGGACCUUACACAGGUGCUGCAUGGCCGUCGUCAGCUCGUGUCGUGAGAUGUUCGGUUAAGUCCGGCAACGAGCGCAACCCCUGUGGUUAGUUACUAACAUUAAGUUGAGAACUCUAGCCAGACUGCCCAGAUCAACUGGGAGGAAGGUGGGGAUGACGUCAGGUCAGUAUGGCCCUUACGUCCUGGGCUACACACGUGCUACAAUGGCCGGUACAGAGAGCAGCCACUACGCGAGUAGGAGCGAAUCUUCAAAAGCCGGUCUCAGUUCGGAUCGCAGUCUGCAACUCGACUGCGUGAAGCUGGAAUCGCUAGUAAUCGG